AUUGAACGAUGGCGGCAGGCCUAACACAUGCAAGUCGAGCGGAGCGGCGGACGGGCGAGUAAUGCCUAGGAAUCUGCCUGGUCGUGGGGGAUAACGUCCGGAAACGGGCGCUAAUACCGCAUACCACCAGAUGAGCCAAGGUCGGAUUAGCUAGUUGGUGGGGUAAAGGCCUAACAAGGCGACGAUUCGUAACUAGUCUGAGAGGAUGAUCAGUCACACUGAAACUGAGACACGGUCCAGACUCCUACGGGAGGCAGCAGUGGGGAAUAUUGGACAAUGGGCGAAAGCCUGAUCCAGCCAUGCCGCGUGUGUGAAGAAGGGCUUCGGAUUGUGAAGCACUUUAAGUUGGGAGGCGUUACCAACAGAAUAAGCACCGGCUAACUUCGUGCCAGCAGCCGCGGUAAUUC
rnacentral:rRNA from 1 species